AAGUUUAGCUUUUUAUUUCAGAACAACAGUGUAAAUGUAAAUGUUAAAGAAUUUUAAACCUAGCCUAACGGUUUAAUGCUUUCUUCCUCCCUUCAUACCUGCCCCUCACAAUAGUGUGCACAUGCACAUGCACGCACACAUACACACACGCACACACACACACAAGCACACAACUGAUGUCUGAAACACUAUCUUAGUUGUUGAUUAGAGUAUGGGUCUAACAGUCCCAGGUUUUGUACACUGAGGAAGCUGAAAAGACAUUAUAUGCAAUGCCACAUACUAUAACUUACAUAUACCAAAAGGGAAAUUUCAACUCCAAAAUACCUAUGAGCAAGUGAGGCAGAGCAGAUACUAAGAGCACUGAGCAAGAUGCUAUCAUGAUUACCAUUUAUUUCUAUGUUAUAUUUAAGGAAACAGCUCAGUUACUACUCGAAGCCAUAUAUUACCAAAGCCAGAGGUAAACAAGGCCUAAGUACAAGUCUUAGCAUUAUAUUCAACAAUAAAUUCACUAGGUAUUAACUGUACUUUUUAGUGGAAGACUGAAAUCUUUACAGGAAAAAUUCCAUGUUGGAACUAAGGGUGGAAUUUGGCAAACCAGUCAAAUCACUUUAUUUUGAACUAGAGAAUAACUUGGAAUUAUUGGAGAGCUCUUGUAAGAGUUUACAUCAUAUGAAAAACUGGCUUACACACGUCCUUUAACUCCCACCCUCUUCAUCUGCAUAGUAAAUAGUUUUUUCCCCCACAGAUAGGAAGGUAAUUGUGGCUAUUCUCCAAGAAAUUAGUUUUAAAUUAAGUUUAUGGCCUAUAGAACUAAAGUCUCUCUAAGGUUUUGAGGUGAACCACAGUGUAGCAGAGGCACCAGGAUCCAGGUUCCAGCCUGGUCCCUGCCACCGUUGACUGACUUUGCAACAGUGACACCAAUUCCACAGAGUCAUUAGAUUUUAAAUGGCUGCUUUUGUAUGUACAAAAUAAAACUAGUGAAACUUUACUUUGAGAAUCACUACUAGUACAUAUUAUUUUUCAUUCUAGGAUAUAUUUUUAAUUUUAUAUUGAAUAGACUAAAAUAAUCAGGCUUGCUACACAAUGCCAUAUUGUUUACAAACAUCAAAAUAAGAAUACAAUAGAGCCAUGGAAGAUAGGGUUCCAUUUUUUACUAAACUCUACUUUAUGGCUAAUAACUAGUACUUAUUGUUUCUGUCAGGCGCUAUUCCAAGCCCUUUACAAACAUCUGAUCUUCACAGUCCUAAGGGCUAUUAUCUCCAUUUUUACAAGGGAAAAAAUCCAAAAAAUCGACUCAAGUAACUUGUCCAAGGUUGCAGAGCUACUGGUACAAUCAGGAUUUAAAUGUUUUGCCCUGUUCGUCUUAAUCACUAGGCUGUACUGCCUCUCAAAUCAGAUACACACCAGCCCCCAGCACAUAACAGGAUGUGUGAUUGUCUGCUCCUUAAUCAACCUGACCUCAUCCCUGGUUCUUCUCCCUUGGCUUAAGAUUCCUCUUUCAUCCCUCCCUACAUUUUCAGAUCUUCCAGGUAGACCUUUCCACCCUUACCCUAAGUUCUAACCCUUGUUUCCUCUGUACUGGUUCCUGCUUUCAAAAUACCCUAUUCUCCCCACUUUUAAAGCAUAAAAAACCCUCACGGCACCUGUUCUCCUUUUCUCUAACCUUUUGUCAUUGUACCCUGAUCAAGGCAAGCCAGUCCCUUCCAACGCUGACAGCUUCUUCGACUUGCAUUGGCUCAUACUACUCCAAGAUGCCAUACUACCUCAUUCAUUCUAACUGCAUACAAUAGUCUAAACCACAAGCUCCUGCUGAAUUUCACACAAUUCCAUGGCUUUCUUGUGCCCUUUUGGGACUUAAACAUACCUUCCUCCACUAUUUAAUAUAAACCCCAAAGAGGAUCAGACCCUGUUCCCAUGCCUCCAUUAACUUUGACACCCAGGCUGAUUGCACACAUAUAUUUAACAAAACAGUUUUACACAAAAUGCUAAGAGCACUUUAUAUUUUACAGAAGAGCUUGACAUACUGUCUAUAUUCAUACAACAGCACAUCCAAAUCUAACUCCUAAAUAGAUGCAUUACAAUUUGUUUAAAAUUUAAAGGCUUACUGGCAAUAAUCAGAGGAUGAAAAAGAGUACGUGAGUUUAUUUUACACAACUGACGGAAAAAUAAAUUCAAGAAACAGUAAA